GAGUGGAGAUGGGAUUGAGAGGGAAGAUGUGAGGGAGGUGUAAAUCUAUUUGAAAUUGUUUUCACUUUCAAGUUUUUGUUUUCACUUUUGUUACUCCUCCCUCCCAUCCUCCCUUCCCAUCCUCUCUCAUUUU
rnacentral:miRNA from 1 species